rnacentral:rRNA from 1 species
UACGGAGGGUGCAAGCGUUAUCCGGAUUCACUGGGUUUAAAGGGUGCGUAGGCGGGCAGGUAAGUCCGUGGUGAAAUCUCUGAGCUUAACUCAGAAACUGCCAUUGAUACUAUGUUUCUUGAAUUUUCUGGAGGUAGCGGAAUAUGUCAUGUAGCGGUGAAAUGCUUAGAUAUGAACAUAGAACACCAAUUGCGAAGGCAGCUGGCUACAGGGAUAUUGACACUGAGGCACGAAAGCGUGGGGAUCAAACAGG